rnacentral:rRNA from 1 species
UACGGGGGGGGGCAAGCGUUGUUCGGAAUUACUGGGCGUAAAGGGCUCGUAGGCGGCCAACUAAGUCGGAUGUGAAAUCCCCAGGCUUAACCUGGGAACUGCAUCCGAUACUGGAUGGCUUGAAUUCGGGAGAGGGAUGCAGAAUUCCAGGUGUAGCGGUGAAAUGCGUAGAUAUCUGGAGGAAUACCGGUGGCGAAGGCGGCAUCCUGGACCGAGAUCGACGCUGAGGCGCGAAAGCUAGGGGAGCAAACGGG